GAGAGGUGGCCGAGCGGCUGAAGGCAGCUGCCUGCUAAGCAGUUGUAGGUGCAAGUCUACCGUGGGUUCGAAUCCCACCCUCUCC
rnacentral:tRNA from 1 species